rnacentral:rRNA from 1 species
AUAAAGAAAGGAGAGAAGGGCACAUGAAGGAUGCCUGGGCUCUCGGAGGCGAUGAAGGACGUGAUAAGCUGCGAUAAGCUGCGGGUAGGAGCAAAUAUCCCUUGAUCCGCAGAUUUCCGAAUGGGGCAACCCACUGCCCGAACAGGCAGUAUCUUCCGAAUGGAAGAAGCGAACUUGGGGAACUGAAACAUCUCAGUACCCAAAGGAAAAGAAAAUAACCCAAUGAUUGCGCCAGUAGUGGCGAGCGAACGCGCAAGAGCCCAAACCGGCGGUGUUCAGGCACUGACCGGGGUUGUAGGACCGUCAGCAAAUGGACAGUCAGAAGUUAGCCGAAGCCUCUGGAAAGGGGCGCCGCAGCGGGUGACAGCCCCGUAGGCGAAAACAGACGACUGACAGAGACGGCACCUGAGUAAGCCGGGACACGAGAAAUCCUGGCCGAAUCCGCGGGGACCAUCCCGUAAGGCUAAAUACUACCGAGAGACCGAUAGCGAACCAGUACCGUGAGGGAAAGGUGAAAAGAACCUCGAACAGAGGAGUGAAACAGACCCUGAAAUCAUGUGCCUACAAGCGGUCGGAGCUGCUUCGUGCAGUGACGGCGUGCCUUUUGCAUAAUGAACCUACGAGUUACCGUCGUUGGCGAGGCUAAGUCCACUGAUGGACGGAGCCGAAGCGAAAGCGAGUCAGAAUAUGGCGCAAUCUAGUCAGCGGCGGUAGACGCGAAACCAAGUGAUCUACCCUUGGGCAGGUUGAAGGUGGGGUAACACCCACUGGAGGACCGAACCGGUAAGCGUUGAAAAGCUUUCGGAUGACCUGAGGGUAGGAGUGAAAGGCCAAUCAAACUUGGAGAUAGCUCGUACUCCCCGAAAUGCAUUUAGGUGCAGCCUCGGGCGCAGUACCGUGGAGGUAGAGCGACUGAUAGGAUGCGAGGGCUUCACCGCCUAUCAAGUCCUGACAAACUCCGAAUGCCACGGCACGAUCCCCGGGAGUGAGGGCGCGGGUGCUAAGGUCCGCGUCCGAGAGAGGAACAACUCAGACCACCGUCUAAGGCCCCCAAAUCCGGGCUAAGUUGAAGACAAUAACGAGGUGGGAUUGCAAGGACAGCUAGGAUGUUGGCUUGGAAGCAGCCAUUCAUUUAAAGAGUGCGUAACAGCUCACUAGUCGAGUGAUCCCGCAUGGAUAAUAAUCGGGCAUAAGUCCGGUGCCGAAGACGUGGAAU